rnacentral:tRNA from 1 species
GGGCAUGUGGCUUAGUGGUAGAGUGCUUGCCUAGCAUGCAUGAAGCCCUGGGUUUGAUUCCUCAGCACCA